AGUAAAAGUCGUAACAAGGUUUCCGUAGGUGAACCUGCGGAAGGAUCAUUAACGAAUUUCUCAAAGUUGCUUACAGCGUUGUGCGGUCUUUCGCAUAUGCUGAAGGUAGCUCUUGAGCACUUCACACAUCCCUGUGCACCUUAAGAGGGUAGCUGUUUUAUCUUGAGCGCGUCAGUGCUCGAUAGGACGUGUUGCCUUCUCUUUACAAAAUCUUAUGUCUAGAAUGUCGAUAACAUUAAACAAAAUAACUUUCAACAACGGAUCUCUUGGCUCUCGCAUCGAUGAAGAACGCAGCGAAAUGCGAUAAGUAAUGUGAAUUGCAGAAUUCAGUGAAUCAUCGAAUCUUUGAACGCACCUUGCGCUCCUUGGUAUUCCGAGGAGCAUGCCUGUUUGAGUGUCAUGAUAAUCUCAAAUCAACAUUUUAGUUCAUCUGAUUUGUUGAUUUGGACUUGGAGGUUGUGCUGAUUUUAUUAUUGGCUCCUCUUAAAUGCAUUAGCUGGAUUACUAUCAGUAAUAGUCCAUGGUGUUGUAAUCUCGGCGCUGUGACUUAACUAAUACAAUCUGCUUCCAAAAUAGUUGCCUCUGGCAAUAUUUGCAAACUUGACCUCAAAUCAGGUAGGACUACCCGCUGAACUUAAGCAUAUCAAUAAGCGGAGGAA
rnacentral:rRNA from 1 species